UAAAUGAGAUAUUUUUUGGUGGUAGUGCUCAAUAAAUAAUUUAGAAUUAAGUAGUUAUGACUGUUAGACCACACAGUUGCUGAGUCAAAACUGUAUGUUAGCAUGACAAUAUUUCUAAUGAAAUGCACAGUGAAUGUAUUUCAAUUAUCUCAGUAAAGAAUCAAGAACUUGGAGCAGUUUAAUAAAUAUCAUUUACAUUAUUAAGCUAAUGUCUGCAAAUAGACUCUUCCUACAUAAAAUCAUGACACAAACAUUUUUAAAUAGAUAGUUUAUGUUCUAGAACAGUGGGGUUGCCAAAGGGGGUCUGAGAGGAAUUACAGGAGUUCAAUGAUAGUCAAGGGGUCGAAUGGGGGUUGGCGUGCGAAAGACCAGCUCACCCAUGCCCAUCCCUCAUAUUUAUGUUGUCAGUUUCAAUAAAAGAUAUUCCAGCAAUAUGAUGUGUUUUCCACAUUUUCUAACCAUGGAAACAACUUCAUAAAAACUGAAAGUUUAAUACUGUAUACACGUAGUUUUAAAUGUAAAAUGUGUGUCAUCUUCAAUAGAAUUUCUUAAUUUCUCGCACAUUUAUAUUUUAGCUAAUGUUUUAAUUGCCAGCAUCAGUACCCAGUAUGCAUUUAAGAUAUGGUACGGUAGGGUAGGGUAUUAAGAUAUUUUAAAUGAGGCAGGUGGUCGAUGCAGAAGGUGAGGUGGCUAAAGGGGGGUCGAUAUGGAAGGAGAAGUGGUUAAAGGGAGUCGAUGGUUGAAAAAGUUUGGUGACCCUUGUUCUAGAACCUGGUCUCAGGUAGGUUGAUAUGGAAAAGGUUUAGAACAUAAAAAAUUUAUCACCUCUGUAAAGUAACUGACUUACAAAGCACACACAUUCCACUUCACACUACGAUAUUGUUCACAUUCCUGGGACAGACAAUUGCUAUAUACAUGAACAUUCUAGACAACAUUAAAAGUCAAAGAAGUCAUGUGAUUGACAAAUCUUCACAUACUACUGCACCACAGCCAUGGUACUAGACUGCCUCUUGUGUUUUUUCUUAAUAUGACAAUAAUUUUUUUGGUCUAAGCUGGCAAACUGUAAGAUCAGACCUACUUACCUUUCUUCUUCUAAUUACUCUAAUUAUUUCACCUGGCAAAAGUCUGUACCAAGCACUUCACGCAAACCAUUAUAAACCUGUGGAUCUCUCUCCUGUUUUCUCUACUGAUAUGACCCCACAAAAAUAUUAACUGAAUGUCAACUUCAACAUUACCAGUCAAGGGCACUUUCAAGAGUCAGUGUACCUUUUCCUUUACUCAAACAAAAAUGUUCAUCUUAAACAAAAAAAAAAAAAAAAAAGGCAAAGUCAGGGGAUGCCUAAAAAACCACUUAUACCAGCAAUGGGAAAAA